rnacentral:lncRNA from 12 species
CCGAGAUGUGCCACAGAAGUCAGAAAGUCAGUGAGGUAGAACAAAGGCUUCACAAACAUGUGGAAAGAAUUGAAGGCAAAAGAUGCAGAUGGCUCUAAUUCUUUUGCAUGAGUCCACGAGGUCAACAGAUUCUUGUGCUUCCUGCUGUUAAGAUUCUGUACAGACUCGUCCUACCCUCCCCCAGAUGAGAACUUCUAACUGAUGAAAUAAGCAGUAAACAGAUCAGAGCUGAUAAAAGAACCUUCUGAUGAUGAAGCGGGUUUUCAAGUACAUGUUCUAACCACAGGAAGAAAUGGUGUCAAACCUACAACAUGGUGUGAAGUCUGUCGCAUCUCCAUCUCCUCCUGUUCUUUCCCCUAAGACAUCUCUUGCAUGUUGAAUCUUGUCUUUGCAUUGGCUGCGUGGCAGACCCAAACUGAAGAAAGUGCUUGCUUCUGCGAGUAUUAAUUUCUAUGAAAUGCAUCCUCAUCUUUUCGCCACAUGAAACUUCUGAGAAGCCUUCUUACAUUAAAAUGCCCACAU